rnacentral:misc_RNA from 1 species
UUUCCGUAGGUGAACCUGCGGAAGGAUCAUUCAUAAUAAGUGUUUUAUGGCACUUUUUUAAAUCCAUAUCCACCUUGUGUGCAAUGUCAGGGUUGAUUUUUCUCUCGAGAGGAUCAACCCCAAACAUCAACUAUAUCUCAACUCCUUGUCUGAAAAAUAUUAUGUAUAAAACAAUUCAAAAUACAACUUUCAACAACGGAUCUCUUGGCUCUC